rnacentral:misc_RNA from 1 species
GGAAGGCAAAGAGGUGCAGGUCUUGGAGGUGGAAAUGAUGAGAGGGAGCAGACUAUUAAUCAGCUUUUGACUGAAAUGGAUGGGUUCUCUGGAAAUUCGGGUGUCAUUGUUUUGGCUGCAACUAACAGGCCUGAUGUUCUUGAUUCUGCCUUGUUGAGACCUGGAAGGUUUGAUCGACAAGUGACUGUGGAUAGGCCUGAUGUUGCUGGUAGAGUCAGGAUUCUUCAGGUGCAUUCUAGAGGAAAGGCCCUUGCCAAGGAUGUGGACUUUGAUAAGAUUGCCAGGAGAACACCAGGUUUCACCGGUGCAGAUUUGCAAAACUUGAUGAAUGAAGCAGCCAUCCUUGCAGCUAGGCGUGACCUAAAGGAAAUAAGUAAAGAUGAGAUAUCCGAUGCUCUAGAGAGGAUAAUUGCUGGCCCGGAGAAGAAAAAUGCUGUUG